AGAAUCUUUCGCAAUGCCCGAAAGGGUGACGAAGCGACGCCGCGUGUGGGAAGAAGGCCUUCGGGUUGUAAACCACUGUCGGGAGUUAAGAAAUGUAAGGAUGUUAAUAGCGUCCUUACUUGACUAAGGCUCCGGAGGAAGCCACGGCUAACUCUGUGCCAGCAGCCGCGGUAAUACAGAGGCGGCAAGCGUUGUUCGGAAUUAUUGGGCGUAAAGAGCACGUAGGCGGCCUUGAAAGUCAGUUGUGAAAGCCUUCUGCUUAACGGAAGAACAGCAUCUGAUACUACAGGGCUUGAGUGCGGGAGGGGAGAGUGGAACUCCUGGUGGAGCGGUGAAAUGCGUAGAUAUCAGAAGGAACGCCGGCGGCGAAAGCGGCUCUCUGGCUCGUAACUGACGCUGAGUGUGCGAAAGCUAGGGGAUCAAACGGGAUUAGAUACCCCGGUAGUCCUAGCCGUAAACGAUGGGCACUAAGUAGAGGGGUUUUGAUUAUCUCUCUGCCGGAGCUAACGCAUUAAGUGCCCCGCCUGGGAAGUACGGCCGCAAGGUUAAAACUCAAAAGAAUUGACGGGGGCUCGCACAAGCGGUGGAGCAUGUGGCUUAAUUCGAUGCAACGCGAAGAACCUUACCGGGGUUUGACAUGGUAGAAGUAGGAACCAGAAACGGUAACGAACGGUAUCCAGUCCGUAACUAUCACAGGUGUUGCAUGGCUG
rnacentral:rRNA from 1 species